UACGUAGGUGGCAAGCGUUGUCCGGAUUUACUGGGCGUAAAGAGCGCGCAGGCGGUCGUUCAAGUCGCGUGUGAAAGCCCCCGGCUCAACUGGGGAGGGUCACGCGAUACUGAUCGACUCGAAGGCAGGAGAGGGAAGUGGAAUUCCCGGUGUAGUGGUGAAAUGCGUAGAUAUCGGGAGGAACACCAGCGGCGAAGGCAGCUCGCUGGGACGUUACUGACGCUGAGACGCGAAAGCGUGGGGAGCAAACAGG
rnacentral:rRNA from 1 species